rnacentral:rRNA from 1 species
GGCAGCUUCACUGGACUGCAACUGACACUGAUGCUCGAAAGUGUGGGUAUCAAACAGGAUUAGAUACCCUGGUAGUCCACACAGUAAACGAUGAAUACUCGCUGUUUGCGAUAUACAGUAAGCGGCCAAGCGAAAGCAUUAAGUAUUCCACCUGGGGAGUACGCCGGCAACGGUGAAACUCAAAGGAAUUGACGGGGGCCCGCACAAGCGGAGGAACAUGUGGUUUAAUUCGAUGAUACGCGAGGAACCUUACCCGGGCUUAAAUUGCAGUGGAAUGAUGUGGAAACAUGUCAGUGAGCAAUCACCGCUGUGAAGGUGCUGCAUGGUUGUCGUCAGCUCGUGCCGUGAGGUGUCGGCUUAAGUGCCAUAACGAGCGCAACCCUUAUCUUUAGUUACUAACAGGUUAUGCUGAGGACUCUAGAGAGACUGCCGUCGUAAGAUGUGAGGAAGGUGGGGAUGACGUCAAAUCAGCACGGCCCUUACGUCCGGGGCUACACACGUGUUACAAUGGGGGGUACAGAAGGCAGCUAGCGGGUGACCGUAUGCUAAUCCCAAAAUCCUCUCUCAGUUCGGAUCGAAGUCUGCAACCCGACUUCGUGAAGCCGGAUUCGCUAGUAAUCGCGCAUCAGCCACGGCGCGGUGAAUACGUUCCCGGGCCUUGUACACACCGCCCGUCAAGCCAUGGGAGCCGGGGGUACCUGAAGUACGUAACCGCAAGGAUCGUCCUAGGGUAAAACUGGU